rnacentral:tRNA from 14 species
GGCCAGGUAGCUCAGUUGGUAGAGCAGCGGAUUGAAAAUCCGCGUGUCGGCAGUUCGAUUCUGCCCCUGGCCACCA